UCGCUGGACAGAAGACCGGAUCUUCUAUUUCGUGUAUAUAACUCUACAGGGUGCUCACUUGGAUAAUAAUCUCGACAACGACACCCCAUAGAUCUGGAGAAGCUUAGAAGGAGGAAGGGGAGGAUUCCCCCCAAAGCCUGGAACGUUUCGGAUCAUGGUUGAGACAUUGAGAACUGGUUAGCUAUUAACUUUGGACACGGUGGAGAGAGAUAUCUGAUUGAAAACUUUGAUAGGAAAUGAAAUGCAACUGACCGACGACCGCGAGUCUCGACG
rnacentral:misc_RNA from 1 species